ACCUUGCCGUCUCACUCGCCGGUGAGAUAAUCUGUGGUUGUGGAGAUGGUUUUUGUUGGUGGGUGUUACUUGAGCGCAUGGAGCAGCCUUUUUGAUGGAGCUUUUAAUUCGGGGCGAAAUUUCUGGAAACCCAUCCUCAAUCACUCCAAAGUUCGAGUGUCUCUGAAGCGUUGAGAAAAAGCACAAAAUCAACAGGCACAUUCAAGAGACGCAAGGAAAAAGCUUAUGCUGACGGAGGGACCAGAUUUGCAUCAAUUGUCAGGAAAGCUAAACCCCAGAAUGAGGUGGCUGAGGACGCUUCAGAACAAAUGCUCAGAGAACAGACAUGCGUUUCAGAGGCCGAGUUCUCGUGACAGGACAGAAGCAAGAGAAGCUUCGCCUGUGGUGUCCCCGUUGGUUGGAGAUGCUGACACUCGCUUCCUCCCACACAUGUUUCUGUUCUUGCUGGGUGGUGAGGUGGCGCAGCAGAAGGACGGUCCUCAGCAUACUGCCGCACACUCUGCCGUUUCAGAGACUGAGCCUUCAGAACUUCCUUAAGGUGCCAAGAUGGUUAUUUAUUCAAGAUUAUGUGCUGCUUAUGGAAUGGAGAUGCCAGUUGGUCCAAUGUCUCCGCACGGUUCCUGCUGCUGCUUUAUGUAGGCAUCGGUGUGCUGUCUUUCCGACGUCGUGCAUUUGAAGAUAUCUUGUGACUUCUUAUUUUCUUCAUUAACCUGUUAUACCUUCUUCGAUGACUAGUGUUAUUGUCAACUUGGCCGAAUCUAGAAUCGCCUGGGAGACAGGCUCCUGGCCAUGCUUGUGAGGGACUAUCUUGAUUGUCUUAACUGAUGUGGAAAGAGGUAUAGCUUGACUGGGCGUGGUCAGGGGAUCCUGAACUGUAUAAAGCUGAGAAAACCAGCUGAACAUUGGCUAGCAUUCAUCCCUCUCUCCUUCCUGACUGUUGAUACAAUGUGACCAACGGCUUCAAGCUCCUGGACUUCCUCACCCUGAUGUACAAGGGACAGUGGUACCUUGAACUGCUGAGUGGGAAUAAACCCUCCUCCAUUAAGUCGCUCUGUCAGGACAUUCUGUUAUGACAAGGGCGGAAAGAAGCUAAGACAGCGUCUGUCAUGUUUUUCAUUUCAUUUGAGCAUUUUUUAGUACCUGGAUCUUAGAGAUGUCAAGUUUCUCCCAUCUCCCUGCUGUGGCUUUGAUAGAGGAUGGAAUUGUUUCUUGGGGUUUCCUUGAAGUUUGCUGAGAUUCCUUAAACCAGCUACUGUACAUUCUCUAUCUGAGGGGGUGGAGAGAUGGUUCAACCGUUAACAGCUCUGGCUGCUCUUCUAGAGGUCCUGAGUUCAAUUUCCAGCACCCACAUGGUGGCUCACAACUGUCUCUAUCUGUAGUCCUGUG